GGGGUUGUGGCUCAGUGGUAGAGUGCUUGCCUAGUACCUGCAAGGCCCUGAGUUCAAUCCUCAGCACCA
rnacentral:tRNA from 1 species